UACUAGUCUUUCUUUAUACGUCGUCGUUCUAGCUCCCUCUCUUCUUUCUCUCGGUGACUCCCAUAGACAUAAACAUCACGAUUUUAAUUUUUCAAUUUUCUUUGUACAAUACAAUGGCACGCAAGUUUGAGAAAUUGUUGGAGCUAUAUGGCUACGAUUUACUAUUGGGAUCAGUUGCUGCAUUCUAUGUGUUCAUGGUACCUUACACUAAGGUUGAAGAAAGUUUCAAUCUUCAGGCUAUGCAUGAUAUUUUGUACCACAGGCAGAAGAUAGAGAAGUAUGAUCAUCUGGAGUUCCCUGGAGUCGUACCUCGCACAUUUGUCGGGGCUCUCAUUGUAUCUAUUUUGGCAUCUCCAGUUAUUUUCCUGAUGAAUUUGCUACACUUGCCAAAACUGUAUAGUCUCUAUGCAGUACGAAUGGUAUUGGGUGGUAUCGUGUUGUCUACAUUGCGAUUUUUUCGCAUUCAGAUCAAGAAGAAGUUUGGAUCUCAAGUUGAAGGAUUCUUUGUUAUCCUGACAGCAUCUCAGUUUCAUUUGCUGUUCUAUUGCACCCGUCCUCUUCCAAAUAUAUUGGCAUUUGCUUUAGUAAAUUUGGCAUAUGGCUUUUGGUUUAAGGGGAGCCUGUAUGCUGCGUUAAAUUGCAUGGUGUUUGCAACAUUAGUCUUCAGAUGCGACAUACUUCUGCUCAUUGGCCCUUUGGGUUUGGAGCUCUUGCUGACAAAAUCGGUUUCUUUCUGGAAAGCACUGACGUCCUGCUUAGCUGCUGCUUUCCUUUCCAUAGGCCUUACUGUUCUUGUCGAUUCAGUCAUUUGGAGAAGGUUGUUGUGGCCUGAACUAGAAGUUUUCUGGUUCAACUCUGUUUUGAACCGGAGUUCUGAAUGGGGUACACAUCCUUUCCACUGGUACUUCACGUCAGCGCUUCCCCGUUCACUGCUUGCUGCAUAUCCACUUUUUUUGCUUGGGGUUUUACUGGACCGAAGGGUUUUCUUCUACAUCCUUCCAGUUCUCUCUUUUGUUCUACUGUACUCAAAGCUUCCGCACAAGGAGCUCCGCUUCAUAAUUAGUUCCAUUCCUGUCUUCAACUUUGCAGCAGCUGUUGCAGCUAGUAGACUGUAUAAUAACAGGAAAAAGAACCUUUGGAGGUAUCUGUACAUUGCUAUGUUGGGAUUAGUGCUUGGCAGUCUAGGCUGCACGGCAGUUUUUUUCAUGGCAUCAUAUGAAAACUAUCCUAGUGGUUAUGCUCUAAAAGCUCUGCAUAGAAUAGGUGGUGUGACAAAGAAUUCAGAUGAACUCAGAGUUCAUAUUGACACUUUUUCAGCAAUGAAUGGAAUAUCCCGAUUUUGUGAGUACAAUUAUCCAUGGAGGUAUGCUUGGUCACCAUUUUGAUGCAAUUCACUCGGUUGUCUUUUCUGGGAUGAGAUCUCAGUUGGAGAUCUCCUAUCCAAAACGUUUGCUAAUGCAUAAUCUUAUCUGAAGAAACCUUCAAAAAGACGCUAACAAUUCAAAUUUCUUACUAGGAAGCUACUCUAGAUAGCUGUUCUGAAGGUCCUUUGAGUACCUGGGCUUUCUGAUAAGUUCAAUCUUUUACAAAUGCUUCCCUAGUCUAAACUAUAAGCCUUAUCCCUUUUGAUUAGCACUGAAGAGAGCAAAUUUUGGAACACUUUUACCAAAGAAUCCCUUGAGCUGAGUUCUUUCAGAAACAACAUCUCUACCUGUGAGGUAGGGGUAAGAUCUGCGUACACUCUACCCUCCUCUGACCUCACGUUGUUGGACUACACUGGGUAUUGUUGUUGUUGUACUUUUACCAAAGAAGUAAGAACUGUAGAAUUCAGAAUUGUGUGAUUUUCUCUGUAUAUGAUAUUGUAAUGGAGAAAACAUAGCUUUUUGGCUUGCUUAAGAGAAGUAAUACUAGAUGGUAACUUGGUAGGAAAAUGUGACGUAAGAAAUAAACCUAUAAGGGGAUAUAGCCUAAUAUUUAUCCUUGAGGAGGCCUAUGUACGAGUGCAGGUUGUUUUCAACUAUAUGCUUAGACAAACCUCAAAAGAAAGGUUAUAUACAGAUAUUAACAUGGACCUGUAAAGAUUCAUGCCGCUACUGCCAGUCCACCCUCUGGAAGGUGGCUCAACUCUUGCAGCCAACCCUAGCCAAAGGCCAAUUGGGAUGGGAUGACAAUUGACAAGUCAGGGGUGACCUGGCUGGUGCCUUAUUGCCAAUAAGGUUCACUCAAGAGGCUUGUUCUGUCUGCAGUUAUCUUUUGGUAUUCUAAAGAAGAAAAUAUUUCUCUGGUAGACUUGCAGAUGAGAAAUUUCACAUAUCUUCUUAAUGAGAAUUCUUACAUUGAAGGCUUCAAAUGUCUGAUGAGUGUGGAUGGUUUUUCUCGGGUUCGCGUAC